CUACGGGUGGCUCCAGUGGGGAAUAUUGGACAAUGGGGGGAACCCUGAUCCAGCAAUGCCGCGUGUGUGAAGAAGGCCUGCGGGUUGUAAAGCACUUUCGGUUGGGAGGACUGCUUCUAGCACUAAUAUUGUUGGAAGUUGACGUUACCUUCAGAAGAAGCACCGGCUAACUCCGUGCCAGCAGCCGCGGUAAUACGGAGGGUGCAAGCGUUAAUCGGAAUUACUGGGCGUAAAGCGCGCGUAGGCGGCUAGAUCAGUCGGGUGUGAAAGCCCCGGGCUUAACCUGGGAACUGCAUCCGAUACUGUCUAGCUCGAGUACAGGAGAGGAGAGUGGAAUUCCACAUGUAGCGGUGAAAUGCGUAGAUAUGUGGAGGAACACCAAUGGCGAAGGCAGCUCUCUGGCCUGAUACUGACGCUGAGGUGCGAAAGCGUGGGGAGCAAACAGGGUUAGAUACCCCAGUAGUC
rnacentral:rRNA from 1 species